AAACAGCCCCCUAUGUUUUGAUUCUUUGGCAGUUUUGGACCCCCAAGACAAAAAAAAUAAAAAAUUGACACGUGACACCUCACUUAGGGUGUCACGUCAGCGUUGACCGAGUCAACAAUGGACUGGGGGUCCAAAACUGCCAAAGAAUCAAAACAUAGGGGGCUGUUU
rnacentral:pre_miRNA from 1 species